GACCGUGCGAAGGUAGCAUAAUCAUUAGUUUUUUAAUUGAAGGCUAGAAUGAAUGGUUGGACAAGAAAUAAUCUGUCUUAAUUAAAUAUAUUGAAUUUAACUUUUAAGUGAAAAGGCUUAGAUAAUCUGAAGGGACGAUAAGACCCUAUAAAACUUUAUAUUUAUAAGUUAAUAGUUAAUUUUAUUUAAAUAUAUUAUAUUUAAAUAUUUUGUUGGGGUGACAAGGAUAAAAUUAAAAAUAACUGUCCUUUUUUAUAACAGUAAUGUUUGUAUUAAUGAUCCUUAAAUGGAUUUAAGAUUAAGUUACUUUAGGGAUAACAGCGUAAUUUUCUUUAAGAGUUCUUAUCGACAAGAAAGUUUGCGACCUCGAUGUUGAAUUAAAAGUUCUUUAUAGAGUAGAGACUAUAAAAGAGGGUCUGUUCGACCUUUAAAUUUUUACAUGAUUUGAGUUCAGACCGGUGUGAGCCAGGUUGGUUUCUAUCU
rnacentral:rRNA from 1 species